UCUUCUCUACGUGGUUCUAUGCUUAUACAUCUAUUUUCUAGCAAUCUUUUGUUUUCAAAAAUAUGCACACAGCAUUCAAUACAAUAUCUGUGGUAUUCUGCUAUAGCUGCAGAAAGCAGAGUAAGAGAGAAAAUGGGUACUAGAAGUGGGCUUGUUGCUAUAACAAAUAC